AGCUAUGUACUGUCCAUUAUGGGCAGUGCCUUCAUGUCGUCACUGCUGGCUGCUAUGCAGGUUCCCAUCCCAUGGUGAUGGUUUUAUGUGUUUUUCACUUUCCUGGUGGGGCCAACUAGCACCAUGAAUUGAUGGCUGAUUGGACUAAUUAUCUGUUGUUGUUGACCCAUCGAAGGAGAUGAUGGAGGGAGAGGGGGGUUGCUCGCUCAAGUUUCCAGAUGAGAGAAUUUAUGAUAGCGUUACAAAUCCAGGUAAAGUUUCACUUCUAGCUCUGUUUUUUCUCCUUUUUUUUAAGGAAAAAAAAAAGAGAAUUCUUAAAUAAUAUCAUUUCAAGGUUUUUUUUAACCAUAGUUAUAUAUAUAUAUGAAGAACAAUUUGGAAUGGAAUUGGACAGCAGGUCCAUUUUAGAAUCACUUUCGACUACUUGUUCGUUAGAGUUUCAAUCCUUCAUCAAGAGAUUUGGUUGAUCCAGAACGAAUCUACUUUUCU
rnacentral:lncRNA from 1 species